rnacentral:rRNA from 1 species
AGACCCGAAACCCGGUGAUCUAGCCAUGGGCAGGUUGAAGGUUGGGUAACACUAACUGGAGGACCGAACCGACUAAUGUUGAAAAAUUAGCGGAUGACCUGUGGCUGGGGGUGAAAGGCCAAUCAAACCGGGAGAUAGCUGGUUCUCCCCGAAAGCUAUUUAGGUAGCGCCUCGUGAAUUCAUCUCCGGGGGUAGAGCACUGUUUCGGCUAGGGGGCCAUCCCGGCUUACCAACCCGAUGCAAACUGCGAAUACCGGAGAAUGUUAUCACGGGAGACACACGGCGGGUGCUAACGUCCGUCGUGAAGAGGGAAACAACCCAGACCGCCAGCUAAGGUCCCAAAGUCAUGGUUAAGUGGGAAACGAUGUGGGAAGGCCCAGACAGCCAGGAUGUUGGCUUAGAAGCAGCCAUCAUUUAAAGAAAGCGUAAUAGCUCACUGGUCGAGUCGGCCUGCGCGGAAGAUGUAACGGGGCUAAACCAUGCACCGAAGCUGCGGCAGCGACACUCAGGUGUCGUUGGGUAGGGGAGCGUUCUGUAAGCCUGCGAAGGUGGCCUGUGAGGGUUGCUGGAGGUAUCAGAAGUGCGAAUGCUGACAUAAGUAACGAUAAAGCGGGUGAAAAGCCC